rnacentral:tRNA from 1 species
GCCUCGAUGGCGCAGUGGUAACGCGUCGCACUUGUAAUGCGAAGAUCCCUAGUUCAAUUCUGGGUCGAGGCA